AGCCAUCUUGGCAUAGUGGUUUAAGCAUUGGACUAUGAUUCUGGAGACCAGGGUUCAAUUACCAGCUUGGCCA